CAGAAAAUAGUUUAAUUAGAAUAUUA
rnacentral:tRNA from 1 species